GUUUGUUUGGAGUUAUAAAAAAUUUAACCUGCCCCCUGAUUAAUUAUUUAAAGGGCCGCAGUAUUAUAACUGUGCAAAGGUAGCAUAAUCAUUAGGUUUUUAAUUGAAAUCUCGUAUGAAUGGUUGGACAAAAGAAGAACUCUCUUUAUGUUAAGUUUUGAAUUUAACUUUUAAGUGAAAAGGCUUAAAUAUUCUAAAGGGACGAUAAGACCCUAUAAAACUUUACAUUGUUAUUAAUUUUGAUUGAAUUUAUGAAAUAAGAAUUUUAUUUGAUUAUUUGUUAUGUUGGGGAGACAUAAGUAAAAAUUUUUUAACUGCUUUGACAAUUAUACAAUUAUUAGUGAAUAAGUAAAAGAUCCUUUUUUAAGAUUAGUAGAUUAAGUUACUUUAGGGAUAACAGUGUAAUUUCUUUUGAGAGUUCUUAUCGAAAAAGAAGAUUGCGACCUCGAUGUUGAAUUAAAAUGUCUAUAUAAUGGAGAAAUUAUAUGAGAAGGUCUGUUCGACCUUGAAAAUUUUACAUGAUUUGAGUUCAAACCGGUGUAAG
rnacentral:rRNA from 2 species